rnacentral:rRNA from 1 species
GAUGAACGCUGGCGGCGUGCCUAAUACAUGCAAGUCGAGCGAAUGGAUUAAGAGCUUGCUCUUAUGAAGUUAGCGGCGGACGGGUGAGUAACACGUGGGUAACCUGCCCAUAAGACUGGGAUAACUCCGGGAAACCGGGGCUAAUACCCGAUAACAUUUUGAACCGCAUGGUUCGAAAUUGAAAGGCGGCUUCGGCUGUCACUUAUGGAUGGACCCGGGUCGCAUUAGCUAGGUGGUGAGGUAACGGCUCACCAAGGCAACGAUGCGUAGCCGACCUGAGAGGGUGAUCGGCCACACUGGGACUGAGACACGGCCCAGACUCCUACGGGAGGCAGCAGUAGGGAAUCUUCCGCAAUGGACAAAAGUCUGACGGAGCAACGCCGCGGGAGGGAUGAAGGCUUUCGGGUCGUAAAACUCUGUUGUUAGGGAAGAACAAGUGCUAGUUGAAUAAGCUGGCACCUUGACGGUACCUAACCAGAAAGCCACGGCUAACUACGUGCCAGCCGCCGCGGUAA